rnacentral:tRNA from 1 species
GGUUCCACAUUAGGCGCCAGUCUCGAGACGGUUUGCAAAACCGUUAUACGCGGGUUCGAAUCCCGUCCUCA